UCCCUGGUGGUCCAGUGGCUAGGACGCCACACUCCCAACGCAGGGGUCUCGGGUUUGAUCCCUGAUUAGGGAA
rnacentral:tRNA from 1 species